AGUUCAGUGAUAGAAUGUGUGCUUAGCAAGCACAAGGCCCUGGAUUCAAACCCCAG
rnacentral:tRNA from 1 species